GGGAGGAAAGUGUCACGUGACAAAUUCACUCAAUGGCGGAGGAUUAAACAGACGGACUAACGAAGGGAGUCUUGUGGUACUGAACGGAACCUUCCCUACACCUGACCUGGGUAGGAUAAAGCUGCCGGUAAAAGGGGUGUCCUCGCCGACCGCCAUUCAUUUAUGACGUGCCGGUGGGCUAGUGAAUAGACCUCUGUGGGUGCAAGAGGGACCGGAUCAUUCACCUCCACACGCCUGAGGCCAUCCUUUGCAAGCCCGUCAACCACUUCAUUCCCCUUCAGGCCGACAUGAGCUGGGACCCAUACCAUGGGAGUUCAUUGAUAAUGAUUGAGAAAAGAAUGGGGGAGAUCACAGACCCCUGGGGCGUUCCUCGUGAUAGUUCUGCGGGAUCCGAUAUCUCUCCCCCAACUCGGACCAUGAUCUUUCUGCCCUCUAGAAAAGCUCUGAGAUAGUGAAAACAGUUACCAGUUAUGCCAUAUUUCCGCAGCUUUUGGAGUACUCCAAAAUGCCAUGUCAAAUCAAACGCAGCCUGUAAAUCCAAAAAAAUAGAAAGGACAUAGCGACUUCUAUUUUUGGCAUAUGUGACAUCGUGUUGUAGACGACCAAGCUGAUCCAAUGUGCUCCGUCCUUUCCGAAACCCGGAUUGGAAGCGGUUAAGAAUUCCAUUGGAUUCAAGCACGUGCUCAAGUAUGUUUUUAAUCAUUAUUUCGAGAAUUUUGCCCUCAUGAGAUGUUAGACCAAUGGGCCUGUAUGACUUAGGGUCGCUUUUGAGGCACAGCAUGGGCUGUU